UUUAUGUCGAACGGAGAUAWUUUGGUUUACUGAGAUAUCUUAGUGGCGGACGGGUGAGUAACACGUGAGCAACCUGCCUYUGAGAGAGGGAUAGYUUYUGGAAACGGAUGGUAAUACCUCAUAACAUAACGAAGCCGCAUGACUUUGUUAUCAAAGAUUUAUCACUCAGAGAUGGGCCCGCGUCUGAUUAGAUAGUUGGUGAGGUAACGGCUCACCAAGUYGACGAUCAGUAGCCGGACUGAGAGGUUGAACGGCCACAUUGGGACUGAGACACGGCCCAGACUCCUACGGGAGGCAGCAGUGGGGAAUAUUGCACAAUGGGGGAAACCCUGAUGCAGCGAUGCCGCGUGGAGGAAGAAGGUUUUCGGAUUGUAAACUCCUGUCUUAAAGGACGAUAAUGACGGUACUUAGRAGAAGA
rnacentral:rRNA from 1 species